UGGGGAAUCUUGCGCAAUGGGCGAAAGCCUGACGCAGCAACGCCGCGUGCGGGAAGAAGGCUCUCGGGUUGUAAACCGCUUUCAGCAGGAACGAAAAUGACGGUACUUGCAGAAGAAGGUGCGGCCAACUACGUGCCAGCAGCCGCGGUGACACGUAGGCACCAAGCGUUGUCCGGAUUUAUUGGGCGUAAAGAGCUCGUAGGCGGUUCGGUAAGUUGGGUGUGAAAACUUUGGGCUUAACCCAAAGCCUGCAUCCGAUACUGCUGUGACUAGAGUUCGGUAGGGGAGCGGGGAAUUCCUAGUGUAGCGGUGAAAUGCGCAGAUAUUAGGAGGAACACCGGUGGCGAAGGCGCCGCUCUGGGCCGAUACUGACGCUGAGGAGCGAAAGCGUGGGUAGCAAACAGG
rnacentral:rRNA from 1 species